rnacentral:piRNA from 1 species
UUUGAUGGUGGAAUGUCUCCGGUCUAGCAUU